ACCUCCGGAACGAAUUAAGUACUUAACCCGAGGUACCACUGUACUGCAGAUAUUUGGGAGAAGCUGCACCUGAGCACUGAAGCUGUUGGACUACGAUGCCUUUAGGGCUGGGGAGUCAGCUAAACCUUUUCCUUUUCACUUUUCCAACUUGCUUUUACCACAAAAUCAGAUUCUUUGUUUUUCCUGCUCAUUAUUUGCAGUAAAUAUGGUUCUGGUACUUCCUGAAUCUUAAGGGGAUGAAGGGUUUAUUUAUGACAGUUUCUGGUUUAAAAGAUCAGGGUUUGAUAUUGUUUUAAAAUACUGAAGAAAGUGAUUUCAGUCAAUAAUUGUGUUACUUUCUAAAUAACUUCUUUUAAAAAUGAUUUUGGACAAAAAAAAUACAGAUUGCUGUAUUUUAGCUUUGGCACAUUUUAAACGAGCAUUUAGUUUCUUACUGUAAUACCAGAAAUAGGAGGAAAGUGUUUCUGUAAACAUAGGGAAAGUAAAAACUGGAGGUAGUCUCUCUUAACAGAAUGUAUUACUGGUCUGUUUGCUGUGUUAAAUGGUUUAAAUUAAUUGUGUGAACACAUUCACCAUGUAAUGACGUGUGUGCGUGCGUAAUUUGGGAGGUGAGGGCAAAAUGUUUUACGAAAAAGAAGUUGAGUAUGUAAGACUGCAAUCCGAAAUCCACUUAUCUGGGAGAAAAUCCCAUUGAGCACAAUGGGACUAAUAUCUGUGUCAAAGUGUAUAGGCUUGCACUGCAAAUUAGAAAACAAUAUCCAGCAUCAACAACCAAAAGAUUCUUUUUAAGUGCAAUAUAUUUAUUUCUGCCAGAAAUAUAAUAUCAACAUGAUGUGAUAUUUCAAGCACUAAAUGUGAUUUGUAAACAGCUUAAAAUGAUUAUAUAUAAAUAUAUAUAUAUAUCACAAAGUUGUACAUAAGUGCAAAUGUGUGGAUAUUCAUUUUUUCCUUUCAUUAAAAUACUGGGAUUUUUAAA